GUCCUUAGUAAUUUAACCAAAGUACUGGCCUUGUAAGUCAGCUAUGAAGGUAAAACCCCUUCCUAGGACC
rfam:Sarcophilus harrisii ctg7180002372707, whole genome shotgun sequence.